rnacentral:rRNA from 1 species
UAAUACGUAGAAGGCGAGCGUUAUCCGGAUUUACUGGGCGUAAAGAGGGCGUAGGUGGUUUUUCAAGUCGGAUGUAAAAUCUUCCGGCUUAACUGGGAGGGACCAUUCGAUACUGUUAAACUAGAGGGCAGCAGAGGGAGGUGGAAUUCCCGGUGUAGUGGUGAAAUGCGUAGAUAUCGGGAGGAACACCAGUGGCGAAGGCGGCCUCCUGGGCUGUUGCUGACACUGAGGCCCAAAAGCGUGGGGAGCGAACAGGAUUAGAUACCCUGGUAGUCCACGCCGUAAACGAUGGACACUAGGUAUGGGGAGUAUCGACCCUCUCCGUGCCGAAGCUAACGCUUUAAGUGUCCCGCCUGGGGACUACGGCCGCAAGGCUA